rnacentral:misc_RNA from 1 species
AGUCGUAACAAGGUUUCCGUAGGUGAACCUGAGGAAGGAUCAUUAUAAAAAAGUUGGGCUUGGGUUUAACCAAAGACCUGCCCCCAAAAGGGACCUUUUGUGCACUGUAAAAUUUUUUCACUUAAACUUUGUCUGAUUGAUAUUUGUACCAAAAGGGACAAGAAUUCUUUUAACAAUGGAUCUCUUGGCUCUC